GACGAACGCUGGCGGCGUGCUUAACACAUGCAAGUCGAACGGAAAGGCCCUGCUUUUGUGGUGUGCUCGAGUGGCGAACGGGUGCGUAACACGUGAGUAACCUGCCCUUGACUUUGGGAUAACUUCAGGAAACUGGGGCUAAUACCGGAUAGGAGCUCCUGCUGCAUGGUGGGGGUUGGAAAGUUUCGGCGGUUGGGGAUGGACUAGCGGGUUAUCAGCUUGUUGGUGGGGUAGUGGCUUACCAAGGCUUUGACGGGUAGCCGGCCUGUGAGGGUGACCGGCCACAUGGGGCCUGCGAGACGGACCAGACUCCUACGGGAGGCAGCAGUGGGGAAUAUUGCACAAUGGGCGGAAGCCUGAUGCAGCAACGCCGCGUGCGGGAUGACGGCCUUCGGGUUGUAAACCGCUUUCGCCUGUGACGAAGCGUGAGUGACGGUAAUGGGUAAAGAAGCACCGGCUAACUACGUG
rnacentral:rRNA from 1 species